ACAUGUAGCACAUCAUUCUGCCACUGAAAACCAAGGCUGCAUAGAAGCUAUGGCAAUAGAGUGGAAAGAAGCAAAAAGCCCAUGAUAAUUCAAAAUACAAACAGAAUUCUCUAUGGAAGUACAGAAAUCAGAGUUAACUCAAAAGCAUACUCAGCAGAGUCAGUUGCUCCAGCAUUUCUGGCCAGCAUAUGCCAAGUUGCACAACUGUCAGCACAGAGAACUUCAAUUUUUUUUUCGAGCAAACAAAGUGCUUCAGUACUUGUUUCUGAAUAAAGGAAAGAAUGCCAGCUGCAAGCAACAAACUUGGGAAAACAAUGGGCACUAGACAUAUCCAUUUAAACGUACCUGAAGAAUUGGAGCCAUCAUUGCCCAAAUUGCCCAAUGCUCCCCAGUGCAAGGCUCUCCAUCAGUUAUUUAUAUCACUGUCAGGCCUUAGGCUGGAAGUUUACAUGCUGGGUGUAUGCCUGGAGCAAUUACUUUUAUCUUUUUUAUUUUAAUUUCAGCUAAGGCAAUACAGUUGUUUCUGAAUUAAAAUGAAACAGAGCAUUGCUUGCCCACCUUAAAAAUGCCUCCAAUCUCAGCCUUGCCUGCCUCUGCCACCCUGCAAAUACGAACACGGCUCAAAGCUUUGGCAACUUGUGGCAUCAGAGCAAGCUCAUUUUCUGCCAUCUCCAGGAAAAUCCACCGCAAUUUAGCCUGAGUGUUCUAGAUCCUUUUCCAGAAGUGCAGCACUCUACACUUCGGCCUUAAAAUGUAAUGUUUUGUUGACUACUGUCAGCAGCACUGUCCAGAGCCUGCACUACAUGCAGUCAAGCAGGGAGAAGACUGGUGCUGAAUAAAACAUCUCCUGCCUGGAGCCCUUGGCUCUGAUGGCCUCUACAACACCACCCUGCCCUGUGAGUAAGCGUCCAGCUAGGCUGAUUGGAGAAACAAACAAAGAGAAAACAAGAAGCACAGAGACAAUUGAGUCCAAUGAAUCUGGAAAUUCAAAAAGCUUUUCACCAGUGUCUGAAGAUGGGAAUUUCUCCUAUCUGGUUUCAACAGAACCUGUCAUGUAAGAGACAACUGAGAUUUAAUUUUCAUUUUCUCUUGAAGCUGAACAAAAUGACGAUCCAAUAUUAAGCUUGUUUACAAAAGCUAAGGCUUGAAGUCCUUCCAAAAAUAAUUUUGUUCUACUUUUAUUGAGUCAAAUUAAAUGCAAUGUUCUCACUCAGAUGUUAUCCACAAACAUGACUGUUUACUAAGUCAAAUCCUGUGUUACCACCAGCUUGAUUCAGCAAAUGUGAUGAAUGGGUCUGCUCCCAUCACACAUAAUGGUGGGUGCCUAAUGAGGCAGUGCAAAGCAGCCUCUAAAGAUUCCUGCCUCUCAGCUGGCCACCAAAUGUACAACCGGGCAGUUAACUCCUAGGCAGCAACAGCUACAUGAAAUAAGGCUUAUCUAAAGAUUAGUUCUAUUAGAAACACUGGAUAUCAAAUACUUCUGCUCCCAGAAUAAGAAACCGCAGGGUGAAAGCUUGGUUCUCCUCACUUCUAUGUGAGCUCAUGGCUUCAUGUUAGGGAUUCCAGCUGCAAGCCUCAGCGUGAGCCCUGUCGCUUUCAUCAUACUUUAAAGAGCUUUCCUCAGAACUGCAACAUUUAGAGAUACAGUCAUGAUUUGGUGGUUCUGAGAAGUGUUUUCAGGUCUGGAGGAAAGGUUCUCAUUGAGUCAUGAUGUGCAGGAAGGAACCAGGGAGGAGAUGUGGCCCUUUCACCAGAUUCAGCCAUGAUUAUCAUCUUUAAGAAUAUCAGAUAAUGGCAGUAAAUGAGAUACAAGUAGAGAAGAAAAGAUUUGAGACAUCGUGCACUGGUGAAGAAUUAAAAAUUGAGACUAAGUUAUAAACUGCAAAAUAAGAUGCCUGUUCAUAGAAGCUGGACAGAUUAAUAUGAUGGGAAAAGGUGUCUCACCAGAGGUGCAAUGAUGAAGGACCAGCACGAUAGAAAGGUGCUACAAAGGAAGCAGAGAAGACUGCUUAUCCAUAUCAGAAGAUUCCAGGUGCUCCAUCAGUGGUUCAGGCUGGGACUCAACAGUUCCCAUACAGAAGCCCUCUCUGUGACUAACUUGUUAGCGCUUGUGAAAACAUAGGAGUUGCUAAUCACCAGGGCCUAUUACUCAAAGCACCCUUUAGAGCCUCCUGACAUCUAGCCUUCCUGAGCUUCUUGAGGGAUGAGGAAGGGACAACAACAAGCAAUUUGGGAACGGCAUUACGUCACUCAGCCCCAUCAGAGCCUACAGACUGCAAGAGACGAGAUGGCUCGGUGUGCUGUCACAUCUCCAGCAGCACUGUCAGCAACUGGCACAGGUAGCCAGCAGCCCUGCAUCAGCCAUGUCUUGUCCUGCAGAUCCAUGAGUCCUUCCAAGCUCACUGGUGCUCUCCUUCCAGUUACUCUAAUCCCCAGAGCAUGGUGAUUUUCUGCCAAUUUUGCAUAUGCUGCUGUUUCCAGAAAUUCCAGUUCAGUGUUUACACACAUUUCACAGUGAUCGCUCCUAACAACCAUUGAGAGAUGGUAUUAUCAUGUUUCUAUUUCCUACGAACUGCUGGCUAAGACUGCACUAAAAGUCCUGAGUGCCAGAUGGUCUGAUUUAUGUUAUUUAUUCUUUCAGCAUCUAUACAGAGCCAUAGGUACUUUAUGCAUUUUGUCAUUUUAAAUCAUAAACACUUUGCCACCCUCAAAUUCUGCCAACUGCCUUGGUUAUUACCUUCGCUGCAUCAUCAGUCACCAGUCAGCAUCCCAGGCUUGCCAGCACCACAGCUGAUGUACAGUUCAGGGAACUGCAAAUCCUGAACAACAAGCAUGUCUCAGACAAGCUGAGAUCCACCAACAGCAUCCACCUCCUGCUCCAGGAUUAAUGGAAACCGUUGGCAAGCCCUUCAAAUUUGGUACCUUUCUUCAUGUCUGAGAAUUCCUGUGAUGGAUCCCAAACUGUCAAGCAAAGCCUGCUUGGUGAGCAGCCAGAGUUUUUGCUUGGAAAUCUUCUCAUUGGUCUUGGGCAUCAAGACCAAUACUAUAUAUAUAAUAUAUAUGAUAUAUAUAUAUAUAAUACUAUACUAUAAUAUAUAUAUAUAUAAUACUAUACUUGGAAAUCAAGUAUAUGAAAUACAACAUGAAAUCAGAAGCAUUUACAUUUGUGUGGUUCAGAUUACUUGAAACACUGAGUAGACAGAAACAGGGAGUUUGAAAGCUCGUGUUUUUACUUCUCCCAGCAGACCAUGAGCUGGAAGUGACUGUCAUGAGUACAGGUAGGAAAUACCAGUGUAUUCCUUUCUCAUUUUGAAGUAUGUCUAUGAGGAAAGACUCUUUGCUAACAGCCAAAAAUAAAAGGAAAGCAGAAAGUUAUCAAGCAGUCUUGAAAAGGCCAUUUGAAUUUCCAGCUGAAAAUCAGCAAAUGUCUAAGUAGACACUUCGGGAGCUUUUCUGAACAGAGCUGGAGCCCUUUGCUGCAACAGCAUCCACCUCCUGCUCCAGGAUUAAUGGAAACCCUUGGCAAGCCCUUCAAAUUUGGUACCUUUCUUCACGUCUGAGAAUUCCUGUGAUGGAUCCCAUGGCACAACAGCAAAGUGCUUCCCAGCCAGCUGCGGACCCAGCCAACAGACAAGUGGGAUCUUCACCAUCUGCUGCCUGGAAGCAGCUCAACAGGACUCAUUUCAUCAAGAAAACAAUGAAGGCAACUGUCAUGUUACUUACAUUGUAUUUAACUACAAAAGCCCCAACACCUCCAUUUCUUCCAAGGCCCAGGCUUUAAGGCCAGAGCUGCCAGCUCCCCUGGUGCUGCCACGACCCUGGUCCCAAGCAGCUCCUCUGCACUCUGAGUUAGGGGCAACAAGCACAAAGUGAGAUCAGAAGAGCAUGACAAGCAUUUCAGCAUUAUUAAACGUAUCCAAACAUUUUAUUUAUGGACUGCAAUUUGAUUUUGCUUCUAUUUGUUAUAGUGUUUACUGAGCCAUUAGAUUUAAAAAAAUAUCUACUGGGAUGGAAAAAAGCUGGGGGCUGCUUCAUUGAGACCAGCAGGCAUGAGGAUGGUCCGGUUUUAUUAUUUACUGGGCCACUUAGCUUCUUUGCCACCAGUGUUGCUCAAGUGCAGUGCAUCUACCCAACGGCCAACAGAAUUGCUUCUGUGCCACAGGACAAAGAGAUGUGACCUCACAGGCCAGUCACAAUGGCAGAGCAAUAGCUGACAUGUUGUUUAUAUGGAAAACAGAAAAUUUCAACUGCUUUAAGAGGUGAAACAUUCUGUAUCAGAUAACAUAGUCAUCAGUCUAUGCUCCUUGGAGGCUAGUAACUCUUGUUGAGCAUCUCACCUAGGAAGAAAGCUUGGCUGUCUGGAGUAAGUGCUAAUUAACUAAAACUCAGUUUUGAAAAAGAGUAUCUGCAGAGGAGAGUUUGGCAAAUGUUUCUUUUCUGAAGCAUUUAAUUUAUCUGAACAAAACACUGCCUUUUAGCUCUAAUUACAGUUUGACCAACUACUGCUGCUUCCCAGGGAGCUACAAAUCUGCACCACAGAAGCAGUCAGACUGGCUGAAUUACCUUUCUUUUUUUCCAUGCAUUUAUUCAUUUAUGUGGUUUGGAAGCACUGUAAGUCAGCUAUUUGCUCUUUCCUUCAAAUGAGAGCCAUUUUGGAUACAGUUUUACAGUCCGACUGCAAAUCCACUGCUGAGGGAAGCCGCUAAUGCGGAGCCUCACAGCUGUACUGCAAUCUGAAUUAACAUUUCUGGGUCUGCCAAAGAUGUAGAAACAUUGCUGCUCACUUAAUAGAUGAUUGAAGGGAGUGUUCCAGGCAGGCAAAUUCAAAGUAUUGUGCAGAUGCUAGUCCUUCAAUUUUUUUUCCUGUAAACAUCAGCAGGCAGAGCAGAGAAGCGUGACAGACAAAGUAGGUUCCCAGCCCAAGCCACAUCCUCACAGAUGGGCACCUGGGUUGCAAGAAAAGAAGAAAAUUUUAUUUCCAUUAAAGACAGCAUUUAAGAGACUAUCAGUGCAAACUUCAAGCAGUUGCUUAGAGAUUACCAAGGUUAACAGAGAGCAGCACUAAGAAUGUCUUCAUGCUACACAGCAAGGAUGAGGGCAGUUUCUGGAACAAGCUGCAAACAUGUCUGGCUGUCAUUUAUUCAGGCAUCCUAAGAACAUCCUUCAGUUGCUGUGUGGGGGGUAGCAAAGGAGCAAAAGUAAUCUCCUGAGGUUUGGAGUCAGUAUGGUGAUGGCUGAGACUUCCUCUGCUCUGGUUCUGCGGCACUGGGAGAUGAGCCUGGUACCUCAGCUCCACACACACUGUGUUUGAAGGCACUUGGGCUAGAAGUGCUUGCCUUCACAAACAGGGUGAUAUGAGCAUGGGAAACGAGGGCAGAAAUGGUUUCUGAUGAAUGGCAGGGCUCUCACAGGCACAAGUGCAGGCUGUUCGUUCAGCAGCAUUGCUGUGGAAGGGCUGUUCCUGCUGCACUGCACGCUGCCAUCCAGUCACUGUGCAGCACCUGCCCCUCUGCAUGGCUCCAGCUGUCCCCUGGUGCCUUGCAGGCAGGCAGGACACAGCUGCUCUUCUGGCACGGCCUUAGCAGCCGGCUCCUCUCCUGCUGGGGCUGCAGAUGUGCUCAUCAGCAGCAGAGAUGCUUCCCAGAUGCAGGAACCAAAUCCACCAACCAGAAAUGGGAAGAGCAGAGUAAAGCACUGCCUGCUUCUGCAUGUGAUAAAAUC
ensembl:lncRNA